UGUUGGCCGGGCGACGGUUGUCCCGGUUUAAGCGUGUAGGCUGGUUUUCCAGGCAAAUCCGGAAAAUCAAGGCUGAGGCGUGAUGACGAGGCACUACGGUGCUGAAGCAACAAAUGCCCUGCUUCCAGGAAAAGCCUCUAAGCAUCAGGUAACAUCAAAUCGUACCCCAAACCGACACAGGUGGUCAGGUAGAGAAUACCAAGGCGCUUGAGAGAACUCGGGUGAAGGAACUAGGCAAAAUGGUGCCGUAACU
rnacentral:rRNA from 1 species